UACGAAGGGGGCUGGCGUUGUUCGGAAUCACUGGGCGUAAAGGGCGCGUAGGCGGCCGAUCAAGUCGGGGGUGAAAGCCUGUGGCUCAACCACAGAAUGGCCUUCGAUACUGGUUGGCUCGAGACCGGAAGAGGUGAGUGGAACUGCGAGUGUAGAGGUGAAAUUCGUAGAUAUUCGCAAGAACACCAGUGGCGAAGGCGGCUCACUGGUCCGGUUCUGACGCUGAGGCGCGAAAGCGUGGGGAGCAAACAGG
rnacentral:rRNA from 1 species